UUCGCCCUUGUGAAAUUGGUGAAAGGGAAGCGCUUGCAGCCAGACUUGCCUGUAGUUGCUCAUCCGGGCUUUUGCCCGGUGCACUCUUCUGCGGGCAGGCCAGCAUCAGUUUGGGCGGUUGGAUAAAGGUCUCUGUCACGUACCUCUCUUCGGGGAGGCCUUAUAGGGGAGACGCCAUACAACCAGCCUGAACUGAGGUCCGCGCAUUUGCUAGGAUGCUGGCGUAAUGGCUGUAAGCGGCCCGUCUUGAAACACGGACCAAGGAGUCUAACAUCUAUGCGAGUGUUUGGGUGUCAAGCCCGAACGCGUAAUGAAAGUGAACGGAGGUGGGACCCCUUUAGGGUGCACCAUCGACCGAUCCUGAUGUCUUCGGAUGGAUUUGAGUAAGAGCAUGGCUGUUGGGACCCGAAAGAUGGUGAACUAUGCUUGAAUAGGGUGAAGCCAGAGGAAACUCUGGUGGAGGCUCGCAGCGGUUCUGACGUGCAAAUCGAUCGUCAAAUUUGGGCAUAGGGGCGAAAGACUAAUCGAACUAUCUAGUAGCUGGUUCCUACCGAAGUUUCCCUCAGGAUAGCAGUAACGUAUUCAGUUUUAUGAGGUAAAGCGAAUGAUUAGAGGCCUGGGGGUUGAAACAACCUUCACCUAUUCUCAAACUUUAAAUAUGUAAGAAGUCCUUGUUACUUAAUUGAACGUGGACACUUGAAUGUACCGUUACUAGUGGGCCAUUUUUGGUAAGCAGAACUGGCGAUGCGGGAUGAACCGAACGCGGGGUUAAGGUGCCAGAAUGCACGCUCAUCAGACACCACAAAAGGUGUUGGUUCAUCUAG
rnacentral:rRNA from 1 species